rnacentral:rRNA from 1 species
GACGAACGCUGGCGGCGUGCUUAACACAUGCAAGUCGAACGGAAAGGCCCUGCUUUUGUGGGGUGCUCGAGUGGCGAACGGGUGAGUAACACGUGAGUAACCUGCCCUUGACUUUGGGAUAACUUCAGGAAACUGGGGCUAAUACCGGAUAGGAGCUCCUGCUGCAUGGUGGGGGUUGGAAAGUUUCGGCGGUUGGGGAUGGACUCGCGGCUUAUCAGCUUGUUGGUGGGGUAGUGGCUUACCAAGGCUUUGACGGGUAGCCGGCCUGAGAGGGUGACCGGCCACAUUGGGACUGAGAUACGGCCCAGACUCCUACGGGAGGCAGCAGUGGGGAAAUUUGCACAAUGGGCGGAAGCCUCAUGCAGCAACGCCGCGUGCGGGAUGACGGCCUUCGGGUUGUAAACCGCUUUCGCCUGUGACGAAGCGUGAGUGACGGUAAUGGGUAAAGAAGCACCGGCUAACUACGUG